CAGUUUGAUCGAAUAACUGGGGAACGGAUAAAUGAGGGGAAAGCUGAAUUGAAAGUCCACUGGUUGCCAUGCACUGUGUGUGGCAAAACUUGGGAUGAUACGUGGGAGCCUGCUAGUGAAUUCGCACAUUUUAUGCCUAAUUCCCCACAUCCCAACCAGCUUUCAG